UUGAGCCUACGGGGCGCAGCAGUGGGGAAUAUUGCACAAUGGGGGGAACCCUGAUGCAGCGACGCCGCGUGGGUGAAGGAGCACCUCGGUGCGUAAAGCCCUAUCGGCAGGGAAGAAAAGCGAACAGGUUCGCCUGGACGGUACCUGACUAAGAAGCCCCGGCUAACUACGUGCCAGCAGCCGCGGUAUUACGUAGGGGGCAAGCGUUAUCCGGAUUCACUGGGGGUAAAGGGAGCGUAGACGGCGACGCAAGUCUGGAGUGAAAGCCCGGGGGCCAACCCCGGGACU
rnacentral:rRNA from 1 species